AAUGUGCUCGUUGAGUACUAAUUUUACGUGCAUCUGGAGGAAAAAAUUAUGUCUCGACUGGAUAAAGUAGAUAUGAUAAACAAUUUAAAAACUUGUGAGUAUUUUCAAAAUACCUACAUUAAUGUAGUAUUUCUAUGAAAUAUUAGUUUAUUUUAUAUGCAAAAAUCUGUUUAAUAUUUGGUGGCAUCUAAGGUGAGGGAACAAUUAAUUAUCCCUCACCGGUGUAAAUAAAAUAGUAACACGUAUUCCUUCUCCACCCGAUCCUUAUAUAGUCGAAUUUGUGCUCUCGCACAUUAACUUAAACUAUGGUUCUUAAGUCUUAUGUGGCUUUGGAUUAACUGAAUCUUCGAUGUUAAGCAUCCCGACUCAAGAUUAACUUAAACUGGAGUUCUUAAGUCUUAUGUUGCCUUUUGUUUUUUAAGAGAGCAAUGUUAAACCAAAAAUAUCUUUUAAAGAUCAAAAUACUAAUUAAUAUUUUUUUGUUUUUUGGUAAGUAUUUCUCUCUCACUAAUUUCACUUCCCUCCUCUUACUCUGGUAUAUAACUUCCCACGUGUCCUCAUUUUCCAGUUAAAAUUUAUCCCAAAUCAACUUCAGUUCCUCAUUCAUCUUAACCCUAAAUUGAGAAUGGCUUAAAUACUUUACCUCCUCACUGCAACAACCACCUACAUAUGACGACUUCUCUUCUUCGUCACACCACGUACGCGUGUGUUCUCGUCUUCUCCGCACCACAACGACGCUGAGUUCAAUAAGUGGUGAAGAUAAAAUCGCUCAGUUAAAUUAGAAUCUGGUUGAAGGAGUAACUGGAAAUGGCGUCGUCUUGCAAGAGUGGCAAUGUUUCAAGAGAGAGUUGGAUCUGAUACUCAAACAUGGAUUGCCAUUGUUACUCUGUUUCAAAUAUCAAGGUUUCUAUGAGUAAGCAAAACCCAAAUCGAUCGUUUUAUUCAUGUAAGCAAAAUAAAUGCAAAUGGAUGGGUUGGUGUGAACCAAUGGCAGAUGAUGUUGAUGAAAAAAAAGAGUAGAAACUAUUGAUCCUUAUGGAGAUGCAAGAAUGAGUAUUUUGGAAGACGAAGUUAACAAGCUACAAAAUUUAGUUGAGGGAUUGGCUGAAGCAAUACAAGGGAGGUUGCUACUGUGAAAUAUGAAUUUCACAAUAGUAUCAUUGAUAUGAAGAAUAAUGUGGAUGACAAUUUGUUUGUCUUGAAAAAUGACUUUGAUAAGGAACUUUUAACAUUGAAGACAGAAUUGAAAGAAAUGAAGCAAACAUGUGGAAAUCUGAAGUUUGGAAUGUUCGGAUUUAUGUUUGUCAUGGUUUUGGUUUUGAUCAGCAAACACAUAUGAAGAACACAAUGAACAUGAACCCAAAUGGUGGUGGAGGUUGAAGGAAGAUGUUAAUUAUUUGUUUAAUAUAGUAAUUAAUAUAUGAUUAGUUUUUUUUAUUUUUUAAAAGUCAAUAUUAGCUUAUGUUGAGUUGAAUGAUGUCUGUGUGUUUGAAAUUAAAUUCAACGAUGGCAGUGUAAGGUAGCCUAGCCACUUAGCUACUAUUGAGACUUGGUGUGACUGCACGCUACAGUGAUUGUUGCACGCUACAGUAGUGGCUGCACUCUACAGUGACAACUGUAAUUUGUGUCCUUUGUAUUAAGAAAUGUCUCUUUCAUGUAGUAUUUUAGUUGUCCUUGUGUAUUGCUUUUAGCACGUUUGUGCAGUAGUAAUGUGAAAUGAAAUUUAACUUUA